GGUUGUCACAAUACCAUGUGCUGAGAUCCUCUAAGCUAAGUAGCAUUGGAUCUGGUUAUUACUUGGAUGGGAGACCUCAAAGGAGCAUGUAGGAUUACAAGUA
ensembl:rRNA 5S_rRNA 5S ribosomal RNA